rnacentral:misc_RNA from 1 species
GAUUGCUAGAGCUGAAUGAGUAUCUACCCAUUGUUUGUGGAGAUCUUAGGUAGAAAUCUUUUGUUUGAAUUUAGUUUGGGCCCAAUGAAAUUAGUGAGAGCAAAGAGAAAACUAUCCUCUUUUGAUGUCACAAAGAAAAAAUUGCCUAAAACUGGUUGGUAAUGAACACCUACCAUCUUAUGUUGCUACUGAACCUUCUUCAGCAAAAAAUUCUGAUAUGAGUGCAGAAAUUUGUCGAAGGAUGUGAAAUCCUUUUCAUUUUUUUUGGGUAGAUGAUGUCAAAUCCUUUCUG